AUCCAACUGAGGAGGUACAAAUAAGACGAAACGCACGUCCUGGAU
rnacentral:hammerhead_ribozyme from 1 species